GACAGAGGGGGCAAGCGUUGCUCGGAAUUACUGGGCGUAAAGGGCGCGUAGGCGGGAUGGCAAGUCGGUCGUGAAAUCCCCCGGCUCAACCGAGGAACGUCGAUCGAUACUGCUGUUCUUGAGGAUUGCAGAGGAGACUGGAAUUCCCGGUGUAGCGGUGAAAUUCGUAGAUAUUCGGAAGAACACCAGUGGCGAAGGCGGCUCACUGGCCUGGUAUUGACGCUGAGGUGCGAAAGCGUGGGGAGCAAACAGG
rnacentral:rRNA from 1 species